UCGACCAAAUGUCUGACUUUGGCUCAGGUCAUGAUCUUACGGUUCAUGAAUUUGAGCCCCACGUAGGGCUUUGCCCUGACAGUGUGGAGCCUGCUUCAGAUUCACUCUCUCCCUUUCUCUCUGCCUCUCCCUCUCUUGCUCUCUCUCUGUCUCUCAAAAAUAAACAAACAUUAAAAAAAUAUAUAAAUUUAUUUUAAGUAAUCUCUAUGCCCAACAGGGAGCCUGAACUCGCCACCCUGAGACAGGGAGUGACGUGUUCUACCAGCUAAGCCAGACACCCCGCAUUUUUCUCUUUUAAUUGUGUUAGUGCCUCAUAGGAGAGCUCCUUCAGCAGAAGUGAUAGAGGCUGUUGCUCUCAGAAUCGAAUGCAAUAUUGUGACCUGUAAAUUCCUAUGACCAUUUCAACAUUUUGUUGAUAUUUAAUCAGGUGAGAUUCCAGAAGGCAAAACUGCCCCCUCCUUUCCCCUCCUCCUCCUCACCAAUCACUCUAACCUCUCUCUCGGGCUGUGAGAGUAUUAAGAACAAUCUAAGGUAAAUUUUUAACACGAUGGUCUAGCUUGGGCUUUGUAGGCUUGGCUAAAUGAAGUAAGUGGUAGUUUUUAGCCAAAAUAACCGCAUUGUUUGGACAAGUUUUCUCCUUUGAGUUUUCUAGGGUCAUUGGAAUGAUCUAACUACCUUACCUGCUAUUUGAACUGGCUGAGCUCUGGAAGGACAGAAAACAAAAGAAGGGUGUUGAAAUGCAAAUAGACAGCUCUAAAUUCCAGUCCCGGGCUGCCAAAAUAGAGCCAAAACUGACAAGGAGGGUCUCCACAGAGGUCUGUGGAAAGCUCUAGAAAAAUCUCACAAGAUGUAUUCCUUUUCGUGAAUUGGAGUCCUCCGUAAUCUUUAUACCAACAUGGGGCUUGAACUUACAACCCCAAGAUCAAGAGCCACAUGCUGUACUGACUGAGCCAGUCAGGCACCACUAUAAGGAUAUUGUGUUUUUUACAAAUCGACGGUUCAAGACUUCAGUGGGGGAAGUAACAGCAGAUGUGAAUAUUAGCAAGAGAAGUGGAAUAUCGCAGCGGAACUGGAAGAUGGGACUGAAUUGUCGUGAUCUCAUGAUAAAACUUGAAUGGAUGAGGAGUUGUUUCUUAAGAACGAGCAAAAGAAAGUAGUUUUUGAGAUGGAAUCUACUCCUGGUGAAGAUGCUAUAAAGAUUGUUGAAAUGACCACAAAGGAUUCAGAAUUUACAUGGACUUAGUUGAUAAAGUAGGAACUUUGAAAGAAGUUAAACUGUGGGUGAAAUGCAAUAAUUUCUACAUUUCACAGAUAAAUCAUUCAGGAAGGCGGGAGUCAAUCACCGUGGCAAACUUUACUGUUGUCUUAUCUGAAGACACUACCACGGCGACGCCAACCUUCAGCAACCCGCACCCAGAUCAAUCAGUUGCCAUCAGCAUUGAGGCAAGGCCCUCCAUCAACAAAAAGAUUAUGAGUCUCCCAAGGCUCAGAUGAUGAUACGUGUGCUAGAUUUGGGCCACGAAACAGUGGCAGAAAUAAGGAGCAAGGUGAACGGUGUCUAUCAUUCUUGCAUGCAAGCGUCCACCCAUCCCACCAACACAGAGGGUGCACUACUUACACAUCAGUCAUUGCCAUAGGAAGAAGAAUCAACCAAAAUUCCCUGUCUCCAGAGGUUCAAGGUUGAUGUUGCGGAGAGAGACACAUGAGUACAGUCUCAGAAAGAAGUGCUAAUAAAAUUUUACAUAUUAUGCAAUGGAGCCUAGGUUUUUAACA